GGGGGAAGGGGCUUAGACAGCGACCCUCAGUUCCCCGGGAAAUGUAGGCGAGCAGCCGAACUGAGCUGACCAAGGGGGUCGGCGCCCCAGGCUUCUUGGUGGCAUGCUGGGGCGCGGGGAGGGGGCGACUCUUACCCGAAGGCUGCCGAGCUGCAGGCGGCGGUCGGUCCGGGCGUCUGCCGUAAUCCACUAGGCGCUGCCCGGCUGCGCGCGCUCUCGGCGGCAGAUACCCGCUCAUGUUGGUGAAGAAACCGCGCCGGAAUCGCGCGGCUGCAGUCACCUCGAGCAGGCCGGCUGCUCCUGGCAGGCGGUGUCCGCGCCGGCGGGGGGCUUGGCGCCCAAGGCCCCUUCCAGGCCCUCCCUCGCCGGGCUCCCCACCAGCUCCGGAGGUGGCGGCUGUGCGGACCGAGUGAGCGGCGGUGGGACCAGGCCGGGCGCCGGGCGGGAGCCGAGGCCGCGGCAGACUCCGCAAUCCCGCAGCCGGCGACUGAAGCCCACCUCUGCAGAGACAAAGGAACUGCUCUGGUGAUCUCCCGAAAGUAAAUGUCCUUGGCUGGCCUCCAGCAUUCCCCUCAUGGGCAUAGCCAUGCAGCCUUCAGAACCUUCCUGAAAGAGAUGCCCAAGGAUUCAGCAAAUACUGGGGAAGCAGAGGACACAAGAAACUUGGAUGUGAAAUAGCACUUCCUUCUGUAUUACAGAAUAAAACAAUAUUUUAAAUUACACAAGCAGAUGGGGCAAGUUUUUGGGCCCUCACAAGCCCAGAAGACUUCACACAGGUAUACUGGUAUAUACAUGUGGAAUUGAGCAAAGAAGUUGUUUAAUUCCAAAGUUUUCUGAGAAAUAAUAUCAGUAGUCAGUUUGCCUCAUUAUCCUGUCCCCAUCUUACCCAGAUAAAAGCAGAGCUUUAUGACCCUCCUUUUCAAUUUGGGGAAUGAGGGCUGCAAAGAGACUUUGCACAGAAAAAGCAGCCAUAUUUGCAUUUUUUCCUCUUGUGCCCAGAGGUAAGCGAUGUACUGGGCUUUGUGGAACCUCACAAAAUGGCAUCCUUGAACUGACUUCUCUGAAAACCACUGAGACCCACAUCCUCUUUUGUGUGUUUCUGGUCAUUAUAAAUGGAGAGCCUAAAUCACUCAGAAGGCUUGGUUCUUUCAUUCAGUGUUAACAUUGGAGAGUAUUAUUUUUCUCUAAAUGGUUUACAGACCUCUCUAAGCCGACUGCUGCAGUCCAGGGCUGAAAAGCACUGUCCGGGAUGGCAAAGCAUUCUCUGAAGGUUUAUGCAAAUUUCUGCAGCAAAAAAAUGUUUGCUUGUUGCCUCAAUGCUUGGAUGUUGAAACAUUUGAGCCAAUUAGAAGGGCAUCUUGUGCGCAAGUCACUGCCAGUCUGUCUGCAUGAAACACCAUGAUGGGGGGUGGGGAUGUCUAGUCAGUGUAAGAAAGAAGGUGGCGAAUGUGUGUGAUGUGUAAUUCCCCAAGGUCUUUAUUUGAACACAAAUCUAUGCUCUUUCCCAGCUACAAAAGGAAACAUUUACCUACAUGUAUAAUUAACACUCUGGGCAUGUAAGCUAUGUAUACAUACAAAUUCAUAUUCUAAAAUACACCAGCUAUUGCAACAGU